AUUGAACGCUGGCGGCAGGCCUAACACAUGCAAGUCGAGCGGAGCGGCGGACGGGUGAGUAAUGCCUAUGAAUCUGCCUGGUUGUGGGGGAUAACGUCCGGAAACGGCCGCUAAUACCGCAUACUAUCAGAUAAGCCUAGGUCGUAUUAGCUAGUUGGUGGGGUAAAGGCCUACCAAGGCGACGAUCCGUAUCUGGUCUGAGAGGAUGAUCAGUAACACGGGAACUGGGACACGGUCCAGACACCUACGGGAGGCAGCAGUGGGGAAUAUUGGACAAUGGGCGAAAGCCUGAUCCAGCCAUGCGGCGUGUGUGAAGAAGGUCUUCGGAUUGUAAAGCACUUUAAGUUGGGAGGCGGUACCAACAGAAUAAGCACCGGCUAACUUCGUGCCAGCAGCCGCGGUAAGUC
rnacentral:rRNA from 1 species